rnacentral:rRNA from 1 species
AGAGUUUGAUCCUGGCUCAGGAUGAACGCUAGCUACAGGCUUAACACAUGCAAGUCGAGGGGCAGCAUGAACUUAGCUUGCUAAGUUUGAUGGCGACCGGCGCACGGGUGCGUAACGCGUAUCCAAUCUACCCGUCACUCGGGGAUAGGCUUUCGAAAGAAAGAUUAAUACCCGAUGGUUUUGUGCUUCCGCAUGGUAGUGCAAAUAAAGAAUUUCGGUGACGGAUGAGGAUGCGUUCCAUUAGGCAGUUGGCGGGGUAACGGCCCACCAAACCUACGAUGGAUAGGGGUUCUGAGAGGAAGGUCCCCCACAUUGGAACUGAGACACGGUCCAAACUCCUACGGGAGGCAGCAGUGAGGAAUAUUGGUCAAUGGACGAGAGUCUGAACCAGCCAAGUAGCGUGCAGGAUGACGGCCCUCCGGGUUGUAAACUGCUUUUAUUGGGGAAUAAAGUUAGGCACGUGUGCCUAUUUGUAUGUACCCAUAUGAAUAAGCAUCGGCUAAUUCCGUGCCAGCAGCCGCGGUAAUACGGAAGAUGCGAGCGUUAUCCGGAUUUAUUGGGUUUAAAGGGAGCGUAGGCGGGACGGUAAGUCAGCGGUCAAAUGUCCGUGCUCAACGCGGUCAUGCCGUUGAAACUGUCGUUCUUGAGUGCAUGCGGGGAAAGUGGAAUUCGUGGUGUAGCGGUGAAAUGCUUAGAUAUCACGGAGAACUCCGAUAGCGAAGGCAUCUUUCCGGCCUGCAACUGACGCUGAGGCUCGAAAGUGCGGGGAUCAAACAGGAUUAGAUACCCUGGUAGUCCGCACCGUAAACGAUGAAUGCUCGUUUUUGGCGAUAUAAUGUCAGAGACCAAGCGAAAGCGUUAAGCAUUCCACCUGGGGAGUACGCCGGCAACGGUGAAACUCAAAGGAAUUGACGGGGGCCCGCACAAGCGGAGGAACAUGUGGUUUAAUUCGAUGAUACGCGAGGAACCUUACCCGGGCUUGAAUUGCAUUUGACGGAUACAGAGAUGUAUCUUCCCUUCGGGGCAGAUGUGAAGGUGCUGCAUGGUUGUCGUCAGCUCGUGCCGUGAGGUGUCGGCUUAAGUGCCAUAACGAGCGCAACCCUUUUCCAUAGUUGCCAUCGGGUUAUGCCGGGCUCUCUGUGGAUACUGCCAUCGUAAGAUGUGAGGAAGGUGGGGAUGACGUCAAAUCAGCACGGCCCUUACGUCCGGGGCUACACACGUGUUACAAUGGGGGGCACAGAGGGCCGCUAGCCGGCGACGGCAUGCCAAUCUCGAAAUCCCUCCUCAGUUCGGACUGGAGUCUGCAACCCGACUCCACGAAGCUGGAUUCGCUAGUAAUCGCGCAUCAGCCAUGGCGCGGUGAAUACGUUCCCGGGCCUUGUACACACCGCCCGUCAAGCCAUGAAAGCCGGGGGUGCCUGAAGUCCGUGACCGCAAGGGUCGGCCUAGGGUAAAACCGGUGAUUGGGGCUAAGUCGUAACAAGGUAACC